GAUGAAGAACGUAGCGAAAUGCGAUAAGUAAUGUGAAUUGCAGAAUUCAGUGAAUCAUCGAAUCUUUGAACGCACAUUGCGCCCGCCAGUAUUCUGGCGGGCAUGCCUGUUCGAGCGUCAUUACAACCCUCAGGCCCCCGGGCCUGGCGUUGGGGAUCGGCGGAGCCCCCCGUGGGCACACGCCGUCCCCCAAAUACAGUGGUGGUCCCGCCGCAGCUUCCAUCGCGUAGUAGCUAACACCUCGCGACUGGAGAGCGGCGCGGCCACGCCGUAAAACACCCAACUCUUCUGAAGUUGACCUCGAAUCAGGUAGGAAUACCCGCUGAACUUAAGCAUAUCAAUAAGCGGAGGA
rnacentral:misc_RNA from 1 species